ACAACGAGGCUUCUUCCCUCAGGGAGGGACAGCUUGCUCUACUGAUGUGGCCCGUGGGGAUAUGGCCAGUUCUUCAAACAGAGCUAGCCAAAACGGAACAGAGAGUGAAUAACUCCGGCUACCCUAAGCAUCAAGCAAAACAAAGUCAACAAGUCACUGGCUCCGUCCCAGUCUGCCUUCUAACUACUGCUGAGGCUCCGAGGUCACGGGCUCCGUCCCAGUCUGCUUUCUAACUACUGCUGAGGCUCCGAGGUCACGGGCUCCGUCCCAGUCUGCUUUCUAACUACUGUUGCGGCUCCAUGUGGUGCUAAGACUACACAGGUGUGCUUUCAAUGUUUGCAGGGGCCUUUCACAAACAUGGGCGUUUUACAGGAAUGGCUUGGCCUCCUCGGAUACUCUUUUUAGGUAAAGGCAUUCAGGCAGGUCUCCUUCUUUGGCUUCAAGACUGAAAAGGACGUGUGCCUGUCCACCUACCCAUGCUAUGCCAUUUAGGAAGAUAU